rnacentral:rRNA from 1 species
CUCAGCAUUACCGCGUGUGUGAAGAAGGCCUGAGGGUUGUAAAGCACUUCAAUAGGAAGGAAUACCUAUCGGUUAAUACCCGGUAGACUGACAUUACCUAUACAAGAAGCACCGGCUAACUCCGUGCCAGCAGCCGCGGUAAUACGGAAGGUGCAAGCGUUAAUCGGAAUUACUGGGCGUAAAGCGUGCGUAGGCGGUUAUUUAAGUCAAUGUGAAAGCCCUGGGCUUAACCUGGGAACUGCAUUUGAUACUGGAUGACUAGAGUUGAGUAGAGGAGAGUGGAAUUUCAGGUGUAGCGGUGAAAUGCGUAGAGAUCUGAAGGAACACCAGUGGCGAAGGCGGCUCUCUGGACUCAAACUGACGCUGAGGUACGAAAGCGUGGGUAGCAAACAGGAUUAGAUACCCUGGUAGUCCACGCCGUAAACGAUGUCAACUAACCGUUGGGUUCUUUAAGAACUUAGUGGUGGAGCUAACGUAUUAAGUUGACCGCCUGGGGAGUACGGCCGCAAGGCUAAAACUCAAAUGAAUUGACGGGGGCCCGCACAAGCGGUGGAGCAUGUGGUUUAAUUCGAUGCAACGCGAAGAACCUUACCUACCCUUGACAUCCAGAGAAUCUGUUAGAGAUAGUAGAGUGCCUUCGGGAACUCUGAGACAGGUGCUGCAUGG